AUUGAACGCUGGCGGCAGGCCUAACACAUGCAAGUCGAACGAGUGGCGGACGGGUGAGUAAUGUCUGGGAAACUGCCUGAUGGAGGGGGAUAACUACUGGAAACGGUAGCUAAUACCGCAUACCAUCGGAUGUGCCCAGAUGGGAUUAGCUAGUAGGGGGGGUAAAGGCUCACCUAGGCGACGAUCCCUAGCUGGGCUGAGAGGAUGACCAGCCACACUGGAGCUGAGACACGGGCCAGACGCUUACGGGAGGCAGCAGUGGGGAAUAUUGCGCAAUGGGCGAAAGCCUGAUUCAGCCAUGCCGCGGUUAUGAAGAAGGCCGUCGGGUUGUAAAGUACUUUCAGCUGGGAGGCGGUACCCGCAGAGGAAGCACCGGCUAACUCCGUGCCAGCCGCCGCGGUAAUUC
rnacentral:rRNA from 1 species